CGGCGUCGCGGUCCGCUCCGUACAGCGUUUACGGUACGUCAGCUGCGGGAACGCCGGGCGGAAUGCGAUACCGCCGACACCGUGUAGCGCGCGCACGACGGUGUCGUAGUCGGAUGGACAGAAACCUCUGACCGAAACUGCGUUUUAUCGCAUCCGGGAUGUCGGUUUUGAUAAAAUCGUCGGGACCGAAGUCGCGGGCCGGUCGAUUUGAAACGACAAAGGCCUGUAGUCUGUACAUUUCUCGCCCGUUAUUAAAAUAUUCUAAUCUUUUUCUAUAUACUCGCCGCCAAAACGCACGCAUUUAAACCGAUAUUCGUGUAUCAGUGUAUCACUCGCGGCGGAUAUCCUCCGGACAGAGGACGAUUGGAGGGCCGUUUCCUUCUCUUUCUCCUGCCCCCCCCCACCCUCACCAAUUGAUAGUGUCGUCGUCACUUUAUAUUACGGUACCCUUUUUAGUGAUUUUCGGCGGGAGAGGAGUUAAUGGACGAUUUUUUUUUUUUCAAUUAAAACCGCCAAAACGUACAUGAUAUUGGCAGUGCAGUGUAUAGAGAAGUCAAUUUCCUACAAGGAUAUAAUAAUGGGAAUGGGGACGAACGAAAAAGGUUCAGUUUAAUAUUUCCGAAUUAUAAGUAGGUUGCACGCCUAUUAAUUAACCGUACGGUAUUCGAUUUUUUUAUCAUUUUAUUAUUUUUUUUUUUUUUAUUUAUUUAAUGUUUUUAAUUACCUAUCGAUUAAUUUCACACUCGUUAAUGGUUCACCGACAAAAACGAAUUCGUUCAAUUAUAAUACUAUCGUCGAGUGUACAAUAUGAUUAUCACAUUAUGUACUAUUCAUAUAUAUAUAAUUUUUUUUUUCAUAAAUAUAAUUGCGGUAAACUGUCGGAACGCGUAAUAAUUAGCAUU